rnacentral:misc_RNA from 1 species
AGUGAUUGCCUUAAUAGGCUUAUAACUAUAUCCACUUACACCUGUGAACUGUUCUACUACUUGACGCAAGUCGAGUAUUUUUACAAACAAUGUGUAAUGAACGUCGUUUUAUUAUAACAAAAUA